GGGGGGGGGGGAGAUGGGUUUGUUUGGGAAUCCAAUUUACAAGUUGUCAGUACUGAUAGAUAACUAUAAUCCCAUGAAGUGAAAAUAUGUAUCUUAUCCAAAACAAAUUGAUCAAACUAACAAUGGAUAAGUAACAAAUCUAGCAAUGCAAUGGUCUAGAGAAAAUUCAUUCACUCUUUGCUGUUUCCAAAUAGAUUGCAAUAAACUAGAAAAACAAAACUACAGAAAAG
rnacentral:misc_RNA from 1 species